UGAAAUGGAAUCAACGCUGAGAAUUUCACAAUAACAUUUCUAAGUGUGUGUGUGUAUGCAGCGCUUAGGCUUCUCAAGUGAAAUGACAACUCACCCCUACCCCUUGUAAUUUCCUGCUCUGCUGGCUGUGGUGAUAAACAUUUAACCUGGUUUAAGGAAAUAAACAACUACUCCAUCCUACCGGUCCCCUCUGGAUUCCUUCAUCCAUUUUGUGUUUCUCCUUUGCCUUGAAGCAAGUAGUUCAUCAUUCCCAAGAAUAUCUGAAAUCGUUGCCACCCACCUCUACCUGGCUGCUGGAUUGUGAAGCUGUUCAUGACCGCUGCUCAGACACAAAUAAGAAUGGAAAAAGAAGGAAGCUUAACUGGGCUUUUUUUUUCCAUGGAAUCAUCUUUUAGAUUAGAGGACCGACUCUGAAUUUAGGUGAUUCCUCUUAGCAGUUUGGAAAACACUUCAAAGGACCACGGUCUGCGAAACCUGAAUAGAUGUCUUGCUGGUAGAGUGUUUUUGGAGUGCAAAGUUGCUCUAGUUCCCAGGGUCACCCUGUGCUGCAUCCCAGGAGGAGUGUGCAGCUGGGAAAAGUCCACCCUGGGCAAUAAGUCCAAAGGCUUAAGAUGGACGGCUCUUCGUCCCAACUUCCUGAUGGAGACCAGCAUGGCAGUGGAUGUGAAAGGACUUCAUACUCUGUAGGAUUAUGACAGCCAUGUGAACAAGCCUGUGUGAGUUGGCUAGAAACGAACACCACUUGGUGGAGAGCUGUCAUCCCAAACCGAGACCACUGAGAGCGGCCAGCACCCACUUCACCUGCCAACUAACCUCAAGUACAUGAGUGAGCUUAGCUGCGGUCAGGCCAACAGAGUCCAGCUCCGCAGAACCAUUCCACUGAUCAACUCACAGACAGG